rnacentral:rRNA from 1 species
AUUGAACGCUGGCGGCAGGCCUCACACAUGCAAGUCGAGCGGAGCGGCGGAAGGGUGAUUAUUGCCUAGGAAUCUGCCUGGUAGUGGGGGAUAACGUCCCGCACUGGGCGCUAAUACCGCAUCCUAUCAGAUUAGCCUAUGUCGUAUUAGCUAUUUGGUGGGGUAAAGGCCUACCAAGGCGACGAUCCGUAACUGGUCUGAGAGGAUGAUCAGUCACACGGGAACUGAGAAACGGUCCAGACGCCUACGGGAGGCAGCAGUGGGGAAUAUUGGACAAUGGGCUAAAGCCUGAUCCAGCCAUGCCGCGUGUGUGAAGAAGGUCUUCGGAUUGUAAAGCACUUUAAGUUGGGAGGCGUUACCAACAGAAUAAGCACCGGCUAACUUCGUGCCAGCAGACGCGGUAAUUC